AACACUGUUAACCUGCGGUACCUGCGGAGGGAUCAUUACAGAGUUCGUGCCCUCGCGGGUAGAUCUCCCACCCUUGUGUAUUCUCUACAUCUUGUUGCUUUGGCAGGCCGUUGGUUCGCCAACCACCGGCUCGCGGGCUGGUGCGUGCCUGCCAGAGGACCUCUCAAACUCGGUUUGUUAGUGUCGUCUGAGUACCAUAACAAUCGUUAAAACUUUUAGCAAUGGAUCUCAGAUCGGAAG
rnacentral:misc_RNA from 1 species